AACGAACGCUGGCGGCAGGCUUAACACAUGCAAGUCGAACGCCCCGCAAGGGGAGUGGCAGACGGGUGAGUAACGCGUGGGAAUCUACCCAUCUCUACGGAAUAACUCAGGGAAACUUGUGCUAAUACCGUAUACGCCCUUCGGGGGAAAGAUUUAUCGGAGAUGGAUGAGCCCGCGUUGGAUUAGCUAGUUGGUGGGGUAAAGGCCUACCAAGGCGACGAUCCAUAGCUGGUCUGAGAGGAUGAUCAGCCACAUUGGGACUGAGACACGGCCCAAACUCCUACGGGAGGCAGCAGUGGGGAAUAUUGGACAAUGGGCGCAAGCCUGAUCCAGCCAUGCCGCGUGAGUGAUGAAGGCCCUAGGGUUGUAAAGCUCUUUCACCGGUGAAGAUAAUGACGGUAACCGGAGAAGAAGCCCCGGCUAACUUCGUGCCAGCAGCCGCCGUAAAAC
rnacentral:rRNA from 1 species